UUAGGCUCAAAACAUUUGCUUUUAAUAUAUCAAAUUUUAUCAUUAAUAUAAGCUAUGUUUUCUCAUUUAUCCCAAGUUAUUAACCCAUGAGACGUCCCCACUUAUAGGAAACAUUGAAACCUAUGUUUAUGACAUCAUAACCAAAACCAUAAUCAUAAUUGUAACCAGUGUAUCUCUAAUCAGUGGAGCUCCAAAGGCCGCUCUUAAUCGUGAGCAUGAUUGCUAUACCAGUUUCUUAACCCUCUGUAGAGGUCGCACACUUUACCCAUGAACCAUGAUUCCCUUUCUGCCCUCGACUCCCCAUUGAUCACUUCCAAGGUGAACUGGCAAGGUCUCACUGCAUAGCCUUUACAAAGAUUCCCCAAAGGUAUAACCGACCAUUAGGUUUCUCCAAUUUGAUAAACACAAUACCUCUCCCCAAGGGGGUGACUACCAAAAGCCAACGAAAGAACCUCGGCAUCUAGCCUCAUCUGAGCAAACAAUGUGCCUAGACCCCAUUGACGACAUGAUGGAGAAGAAAACUACACCUCAUAUUUCUGUAAUUAAUUAGAUAAGGAUGUCCCAUACCACCCUCAUGGCUGCACUAUUUUCUCGGAUGGUCAUCCAACGAUCCGGUUCUUACAGAGAAGUACUCGGGACAUAUGGCCCAAGUCUCCUUGACAUCACAAAUCCAUAAACAAAACCUCGGAAACAUUGUAUCAUAAAUGUAUCUCUUCAUCACAGCCCAAAUCCAAAUGGUAAACAAGGACAGGGAAAACAGAAAGCUAGUCAAUCCUUAGGUUGAAUCUUGUUGUCUGGGAAUGUAAAUUCUCAUGUGAAUAGGACAUCAGUAAGUCAGAGGAUAUUUGCCUUCACCAAACUUUUGCUCAAGGUCUUCAUCUGCUCCUCCUUUGGAAACCACAAACUGCUCAUUGUCUACAUGAUACAAACAUGCAUUCAAUACACUUGGAGAACAUAGAAGAACAAUAAACCAAGCAUAUGCAACAAAGCAACUCAUGUUUAGAAAAAAAAGUUAUGGCAUUAACUGUGUAGUUAAUAAGUUUUGGAUGUUUUAAUGCACAUGCUUCCCUUUUAAUGUGUUAGUUAGAGCAUCUCCAAGAGAGGCUCUAAACAUGGUCCUAUUUUAAAUAUAGGGCUCAAAACCAUAAAACAUUCUUCCAACAGCGGCCCUAUUUUAUAAAAUUUCAUCAAAUGGUUAUAGGGCUCGGUCUCUCGGGUCCUAAAUAUAGUACCCAUAUAAUGGAGCCCUAUCCUCAUUUCCACUUAAUCUCCAACCAUUUAUUUCCUAAUAUCAUGAUUUAUUUCCUAAAUAGCAUUAUUUAAGGCCUGACUAUUAGAGUAAACAUUUCUUUUGAGACCCUAAACAUCUAAAUAUGGUCCUAUUUCAAAUUUUAGGACUCUAUUUUAGAGUUUGUUGUUGGAGAAAUGAGGAUAGAGCUCCAGUAUAUGGGUACUAUAUUUAGGACCCGAGAGACCGAGCCCUAUAAUCAUUUGAUGAAAUUUUAUAAAAUAGGGCCGCUGUUGGAAGGAUGUUUUAUGGUUUUGAGCCCUAUAUUUAAAAUAGGACCAUGUUUAGAGCCUCUCUUGGAGAUGCUCUUAUGAGCUAAAAAUGUGAACCUAGGCCUUAUUCCUAUUUACAAAUUAAACCUAUAUUUGAAAUGAAUUCUAGAAGAGCAUAGUUAACUCCUAGUUUGAAGGCUACCGACGCGUAAUCCACCAUCCUUGGGUGGUAGACCACUCAGUUAAUCCACACAACAUCCAUGUAAUCAAUUAAGGGCAACAAAACCAAUACUGGUAGAAACAUGUUGCGACCAGAGACAAAUGCGUGCUCCUAUAUAGUACUAUUCUGUAAAAAGAAAAAAACUGUUUCAGUCUAGGGACCUAAUCAUAAAAAUCGAAGACGUUUGAUUCCCGCACCACGAGUCCACGGCACAAGGAAAUGAAACAAUCCACGCGGAACGCCGCCGCCGCCAUUCCCAUGGUUUUCCAUGCUCGGUUGCGAGCCAGCAAUUCCAUUUCAGUGUCCUCCCUCGUCUCGAGACCUUGCCCCAUCCAGCCCAACGCUCCGUCCAUCAACUGAAUAGCUUGGCGGUGUAACCCUGUCGUGUGCGAUGAGCUCCUCGCCGUUGAUCACCGCCGCGGCGUCGGCUGCCGUGGUGGCGCUGGCUGUCGCCAACCGCGUGCUCUACAAGCUCGCGCUUGUGCCUCUCAAGGCGUACCCUUUCUUCCUCGCCCAGCUCACCACCUUCGGGUAAAUAAGCCAAACCGAGCCCUAUUCAUCCUCUGGUGUUCCUGGAGGCCGCGAGCUUGGUGUUCGACAAAAUGUGGAGGAAACAAUUCUCGGCGCGCUUGACGUGGCACCUAGUUUUUUCGGAUCCUAAAUCGGGGUUCGUCGUGGUUUGUGCGUGCAGGUACGUUGCCGUGUACUUCUCGAUGCUCUACACGAGGUACCGCACUGGGUUGGUGACUAGAGACAUGCUGGCGCUCCCCAAGCACCGGUUCGUCGCUAUCGGUUUGCUGGAGGCACUUGGAGUCUUUGCUGGCAUGUCUGCUGGAGGUAGUUUUGUUCAUGUUCACUCUGAGAAUGGUGUGAUUGAUUUUUACAGAUGAAAUUGCAUUUCUUGCUCGAUCAUAAAAGAAGGGGCAAGAUGGUUUGGUUAAUUGGUUUCAUCCAGUUCUAUGUCCUAAUACAAAUUUGUUAAUUAGCUGUUGUUUAUGGUACUUGCAGCUAUGCUACCAGGGCCUGCGAUUCCUAUACUGUCCCAGGUAUAUAUGCCCUUUGGUUAGUUUCUGUUGCAACCCGUUAACUCUGUUCACUUAUAUAUCAUGGUUCUUUGAUCUGAGUUAUUUCAAUUAUUACUAAAUUAAAUUUUCCAUUUUGUGUUGUAGUUUUUGUUGCCAACUUAGGCAACAGUAUUUCUGUAGUCACCCUAAGAUUUUGGGAGGUUUCAGUUGAUGCCUACUCUUACCAAUUUCAUUUGAUUGCUGGUGUUUAGAUCUGCUAUGGUUCUACAAUUACAUGUCAACUGAGAUAUUCCUUUGUAUGUCUGCUGCAGUCAUUCUUGGUCUGGCAGCUUAUCUUCUCUGCCCUGCUUUUAGGGAGGACAUAUUCGGCCAGACAAGUCAUUGGUUGCUUCCUAGUAGUUUCUGGUGUGAUUCUUGCUGUUGCAAGGUAUGCUAUUUGAAACAUUUGCUUUAUUUUUCUUGUUCUUAUGGCGCAAUACAUAUAUUUGGAGAAAAAAAUGCUGCUACACGUGCACCUUACAUCAGUAACAUUUUACUAGUUUUCUAGAGAAGGGUUAUUGUGGCAUUAUUGCACUAAGUUAUUACUACCACAUUGCUAAAUUUUAAUUGAUUAGUCAUCACAAGAUUUUUAUUUCCUUAGUGGAGCGGAUGAUGGCCAGCUUCUUUCAGAUGUAAAGUUAAUUUGGCCAGCACUCAUGAUCGCUUCAUCAGCAUUUCACGCUGGUGCAUCUAUUCUGAAGGUAUAGCCGCUUUCUUUAUCUCAUAUUGUUCAUUUUUGCUUACUGGUGUUAACACUUAACUGAAAUAUCUUAAUUGCAUAUUACAGGAAGCUGUUUUCAUUGAUGGUGCAAAACGUCUUAAGGUUGAUGCAUCUUUUCUCCAUGGUGCUUUUAUUUGUUCAUCAGUAAACAUUAAUCUAUGAACUCAUGGUCUAAUGUUCAUAAGACAAAAUAUUUAUGCAGGGGAAGCGGCCAGACAUAUUUGUGGUCAAUUCAUUUGGAUCUGGAUUUCAGGUGAUUUUAGAAACUGAACAGAGUUGGGCUGUUCUAUUACAUACUUUCUUGGUUCAUGCUUGACUGCAUUAUUAUGUCUUUAAACCUGGAUUUAAUACUGUAUACUAUGUAAUGUUUUUUCAGGCUGUUUUUGUCUUUCUUCUUCUUCCAUUCCUUUCUAAUUUGAGGGGAAUUAAGUUUGCUGAGCUUCCUGCUUAUUUAAAUGGUGGUGCUGAGUGCUUCUUAAAUGUCGCAGAAAGUCCAAUCGGUAAUGGUUGUUGCACAGAAUUGUACGUUUCCAGUUAGUGUAUGUAUUGUUGCUAAAUAUGUGCAAUUUUUUAGUGACUCGCCUCAUAAAUGCUUAUGGAUUCUAAUCGAGAUAUUUCUCUUUGGACUUUUAUCGAAAUCUCGAGGAACUUUCAGUCUAAUAAACUAUUGAACUUUCCGAUGUUCUGAUUUUAGGUCAUGCUUUCUCUAUUGCUUUGGGAAAAACUGUUUGUGUAUGUUGCUCACUUGCUACUUUUCUUACAGACUGCGGAGGAGCUCCAUUCCUGCCUUUGCUGUUUAUAGUGGUGAAUAUGGCAUUCAAUGUCUCUCUCCUCAAUUUGGUGAAGAUGUCAUCUGCCAUUGUGGCUUCACUUACAGCAACAUCAGCAGGUCCUUUAUUGUUUUUUGACCCUUGAUUACCCCGCCUGCAUUUUCAUCUUCUUUCUUGGUGUUAUUGCUGGUGGGUAGACCGAAUGGAGGAAUAUAACCAUACAAUACUAAUUAUGCUUGUUUUGAAUUUUAGUGCCAAUAUCGAUCUAUAUUCUUUCACUUCCUUUGCCCUACAUCCCUCAUGGCACGGAAUUAAGCACGUCUUUCAUCAUUGGUGCCGUGAUAUUGCUGAUGGGCCUGAUUCUGUAUAACCUUCCUCAAUCGUCACUGAAACAAUUGAAGGCUGAUUGAAGGUAAAGUGACACACUGCCACAUGCCUUGUAACAGAGAGUUUACUGAUUGAUAUUUUAUGGUGAAAUUGAUUUCCACACUGAACUAUACGAAGCAUGUGACUCAUUCAGAUUUUGUAUUAUGAAUGUUAUCGAAAUUAAGAUUUUCUAAAACGCAAGCAACAUGUGUAUGUAGUAGGGACAUUUUUAAUACUUACCCUAUAGUCUGGAAGUGUGAUCUAAAUGCAAGUUCAGUGAGCUUGGUGCUUAGAACGAUGCUUUGUGUUCAGUGAUUACAUUGUGCUAUGAUGAUGAUGUGUGUUCAAUUACGUGUAAUCCAUAGUUAUUAAGGCGGUAAGGUGACCAACCCUCUUUUUACCUUUUAGGCGAUAAAGCACCCUAGACUGUCAGGGAUUAGGUUUUAGUGGCGGCGACGGUUCCUCGACCGUGCGAGCGGCGGCGAUCUCAGGGGCGAGUGAGGGCAGGGGCUCCCCCCGAGGCGCGUGAUCGGCGGCGGCAACGCUCCCCCGGAUCGAGCGACGGCGAUGCCCUCGAGGCGGAUGAGCAGCGACGCACCCUAGGUUCGGUGGUGACGGUGGUUGCAUGAAGCGCGGUAGGCUUCGACAGUAGCGGUGGCAUCCAUGAGAGACAUGGGUGGCUUCGGCGGUGGCGCGAGGCGUGGUUGUCUCCGGUGAUGGCGUCUGGCGUCCUUCGAUGACCAACUCCUUCGAUUCGGUGGUGUUCUCCGACGACAACCUCCUCCAAUCCUUUGUUUACGCAUGCAGUUGUUGGUUGAACCCACACAAUUUUUUUUCAUUAAUUAUGAUGUACGAUGUAUAUAUUUAUGCAACUUUCUUUAACGAUUUAUGCUUCGCGCGGUAUGAGCCAUCCAACUUUUUGCGUGUAUGACGUGGAAACGAAAAUGUCAUUCAAAAUUUAUGCGCAUGCAAUAGAAAUUUCCACGACCUGUCAUAAUUUUUGGACCUGCAUAAAAAUAGGAACCACAUGCAUGUGUCUAGUGAUUGCCGUAUUGUUCAGAUCUACGAAAAAAUAGGAUCGAAUGUGUCGGUGUUUAGAGCCCGACCGCACACCCAGGGUUACCCCUCGCGGUGCUUUUGGGUAGGAUGAUGUUGUUGACUGUAACUCAAUGGUUUGUGAUGCACGAGAGAUGACAGACAAUUUUCUAUAGGUUCGGGCCGCUUGGAGAGGCGUAAUACCCUACUUCCUGGUGUGGAUCUUUAUGUGGCAGGUUAAAAGAGAAGUCUCCAGUAUGGAGAAAGGCUAAUGAGAUAGGUAGAUGGUUUAUUCAAAUGAUGGGGUACCCCUCUAGGCUUUAUAUACUCGAUUGAGGUGCACUACAUGCGUAUGUGAUGAUGAUGUGUACCUAAAUAAUAGUGAACUGACUGAACUUAUCCUGCUAUAAUCGUGCCGACUUAUCUUUAAUCCGUUCAGAUAUUGUAACACUCCUGGUGUUACUGGUACUAAAACUUGUGUUACUGGUACUAAAACUUGAGCAUAACAUCAUGUGCAUUGACAUUUCAUAUGUUUGUUACACCUAGAGUGCAUUCACUAGGUAAAAAGUUCAAACAAGUUGUAAUGAUGUGGCUUGAAAAGUGCUUAACCCUAGGGUAGGGUACUUAACCCUGAUUUAGGACUUAUGGGUAAAGGAGAAGCUAAAAUGAGUAAAAAUCUCAUGAAACAUGAGAAAUGAUCACAAUGUAUCACAUUUGAUGGACUUUAGUGACACCAAAACCUUAAAGUACUCAAAACCCUAAAAAAAACUCCAAGAAAAACCCUAAUUGAAACCCUGGGGGGUUAAAUGUAAAUUCUUGGCACUUUUUGUGGCAGAACCUCUUAAGUUAUUGGGCCCACAUGCACCUGCCCUUGUCUCAAAGACCUCAGACGGCUAUGCAUGUGCACCAGAUAACUUAACAGGAUCCGUCCGAUUGUCCCAAGGACCCCGGAUAAACCAUUUAUAACAAGGAUCGCAAGAUUAAGUAACACAAAUCACACACACCAACAUUUUUGCAGCGGAAAUCUUAUUACUAAAUUUUACAAGUUACAUCAAGUUUACAUUGUAUAUGAUCGGAGUGAUUACAAAAGUGAUUCAAAGAAAUAACUUUUAACUUUUAUAAUUUAUUUAUUGUUUUGAAAUAUAUGCUAGCUCAAGUGACCAUCCUCAAUAAGAAGUAUAGAAGAAGUACUUAGACUUAUGAGAAGGCCGUGCCCACACCAAUCACAAUCAAAGUGAUUCGUAACCUACAACAACAAUGGGUAAAACCCUAAGUACGCAAGUACUCAGUAAGACUUACCCGACUAAAGAAAAGAAUCUCAAGGGUAUGCUGGUUUCAAAAAGGGAUUCAAGGUAUGAUUUAUCAAGAAUCAAAGACUCUUUUGCAGAAAAGCUUACUAUGAGUGGAUCCUUAAAAAUUCAUUUUUACUUGUCAGGUUAAGUAAAGUUACCUGCAUCUAGAGUUCUUUCUACCCUAAUUCAAGCACAUGACCUAUACUAGCCAUCUUUUUAUCAUCCCAUCAGUUCACUGGAUUGCUACGUGUAGGGCAGUGACCAAGUCUUCAUGUCCGAGAAGUAACGACGAUCCGAAUCGAUUAAUACCUAGUUAGGGAUCUUCAAUCACACGACAUAUGUAACACUUAACCCUUGCAUAUGUCAACUCGCCACCAGAGUUCUUAAGACCAGAUCAGGUUCACACCAACCGAGAGCACAGAUACACCACCGUCUAGUCUCUUGUCACGGAGGGUACACGCUACUCUCGCCAUCUCUCCACUCCCAUUGCGUGUUGUCUUAUUCUGGUAUUAGUCUGUCCGAGGCAAAGAUUACCCAUGAUGAGGCAUGUGACCAGUUAAAAGGUCCUCGAUCAGCAAGCCUACAUCAACACGGUUCUUAAUCGACUCAGACGGAGACACUACACCGAGACUCCCUUCUCGUGCAAGUCAACUGUAAGGAAAAUGGACCCCGGUCCAUUUGGCUAAUUGAGUUUUGGUGUUUGAUGAACAACACAAUCCGUGAACUAAUAAGUUUUCUAGUGUUUGUGUUUGUUCACAGGAUGCAAAGAGAAUUGGACCAAGGCAAUGAGGAUGCAACACCUCAAAAGAAGACAUAAAAAAGAUACAUAGGAGUCCAAUACUCAAGAACAAAGAAGCCCGAAGAAAUCAGCGAAGAAUUCCAAGAUAAGGGCUGUCAGCCAGCGCCUGGUGGCGCACCGGACAUUGGUGUCCGGUGUGCACCGGACUGUCCGGUGAGGCACCAGACAGUCUGCGCAGAGAGGCCGCAGACAGGCGCUCUCUGGCUGUAGCAUCGGACCGUCCGGUGUGCACCGGACUGUCCGGUGUGCCAACGGGCAGACGGCAACGGUCGGAUCCAACGGUCGACUGCUACAGGCGCCAACGGUCGGCUGACGUGGCGUGCACCGGACAUCUACUGUGCAGUGUCCGGUGGUGCACCGGACUGUCCGGUGCACCCGACGAUAGAAAGCUGCUGCUUUCUGUCCAACGGCUAGUUGGGGGUGUGGAGGCUAUAAAUACCACCCCAACCGGCCAUUCUCUUGUGUGAGAGCCCAAGCAACACUUAGACAAAACCUAGUUUGCACAUUCUAGUUUGACUAUUUGCAUAGGUUUUGCUCUAGGGAUUUAAUUGUGGCCUAGUUUAGCGAAAGUUUUAGAAGUCCUAAUUCACCCCCCCUCUUAGGCGUCACCCGUUUCCUACAAGUGGUAUCAAAGCCUGGUUUGGCUCAUUUGAAACGCUUUAGCUUCACCGCUAAAAGAGCCGACGUUUUUUUUGAGGAAGGGAUAGAUACCCAUAGGCCACCACACUUCGACGGCACUAACUUCCCUUAUUAUAGUGCUAGAAUGGCUUGUUACCUAGAGGCCGUUGAUCUAGGUGUUUGGAGAGUCACUCGUGAUGGGAUGAAACCCCUCAAGAAUCCCGAAAAACCCACCACGAGUGAGGAAAAAGAAAUUCAUUUAAAUGCUAGAGCCAAAAAUUGCUUGUAUGAAUCUCUUAGCAUGGAUAUCUUUAAUCAAGUAUUUACCUUGAAAACUGCUAAUGAGAUUUGGCUAAAAUUGCAUGAGCUCCAUGACGGCACAUCCAAUGUCCGUGAGCAAAAACAUUGCCUAGUCUUAAAUGAGUAUAAUUCUUUUGCUAUGAAAGAGGAUGAGCUUGUUAGAGACAUGUAUUCUCGAUUGAAUCUAAUUAUCAAUGAGCUCAAUUCUAUUGGCAUUAAUAAGCUAGGUGAUGCAGACAUUGUGAGGAAGAUUAUCUCCCUGCUACCACAACAAAGAUAUGGGAGCAUCAUCACCAUCCUUCACAACAUGGAGGACUUGAGCAAUAUGACCCCGACCAUUGUGAUUGGGAAAAUCGCGGCCUUUGAGAUGUCGCGUAAAAUGAGUCGGGGAGAGGAGCCAACUUCCUCAAGACCAUAUGCUUUUGCAUGUGAUGAAAGGAAGGGCAAAAAGAAGGCUCCCACUCCAAGUUCCUCAAGUGAAGAAGAGGAAGAAGAAGAAAGUGAUGAUGAUGAAGAUAUUCAACCAUGCACAUCAUCCUCCGAGGACGAAGAAACAAUCCGACGCGUCGGAAAGGUAAUGGGGAUGAUCCGCAAGAUUAAUCUAAUGGGUGUGCCCCUGCAGGUCGAGGAUCUUCUCUUUAACAUUGACAGGAAAAAGCAAAGGAAGAGAGGAUGCUUCGCAUGUGGGGAGAAGGGCCACUUCAGGGACAACUGUCCAAAUAUGGCCAUACCCAAAAAGGAGAGGAGCAAAGGCAAGGCGCUAACAAGUGUUAGAACUUGGGAUGAUUCUUCAAGUGAAGAUGAACCCCCAAGGACGCGCAGCCACCGGUCCUCGUCACGAUCAUCACGGUCAUCACACAAAUGCCUUAUGGCAAGAGGUAACAAAAGCACUCCAUCCUCUAGUGAUCAAAGUAGUAGUGAUGAUGAAGGUGAGGGAAAAGCCUCUCUAGAUGAGCUUGCGGAAGCCGUAGAAUUUUUUCAGGAUGUUUGCACUAAGCAAAAAGCUCAACUUAAAACUUUGAAAAAUAAGUUGGUUAGCUCUCAAAAUGAUUACAAAGGUUUGCUAGAAAAAUUUGAAACUUUUGCAAACUUAAAUAGUGAGCUAUCAACUAAAAUUGAGCUAUUAGAAUCUAGUGCUCCAUCCACUGCUACCGAUGAUAGCCUUAUUAAAAAGAAUGAAAAACUUAAGGCUAAGUUAGCUAGCUCCCAAGAAGAUAUUGAAAAUUUGCUAGAGAAAAUGGAAAUUUUUAGCAUACACAAUAAUGAGCUAACUACUAAGCUAGAAAACAUUGGUAGCACCCCAGCAGCAUCUUUAGUUGAAAUACCUGAAAUAAUUAAGAAAGAUGCUUCUACUUCCUGCUUUGAUUUAAUUGAUGAUUCUAACCCCUGCAACCAAGUCGUUGUUAAGAAUAUUGUUGUAGAGACAUGUUCGGAUGAGGUUGCAAAGGAAAAUGAACAAUUAAAGCAAGAAGUGGCUCGCCUUGGCAAGGCUUUGUAUGACAAGAAAGGCAAAGCCAAACAAAUCCAACCUCCACAGGAUAACACCACUGCGGGAGUGAACAAGCCUAUGGAGGGAGAAACUGUGAUUUGUAGGCUAUGCCACAAGGAAGGCCACAAGUCUUUCCAAUGCAAGGCGAUGACCGGGGAUAAACAAAGGCAAAAGCUCAAGCAAAAGCCAUCAAGCAAAAUCUCCAACACCUACAUCAAAAAGGUGAACAAAAAGGAUGCUACACCAUAUUUGAUCAAGAAGAAAAAGAACGGAAAGGUGAUAGCAAUCAAGGCCAACAAGCAAGCCAACAAAGGAAAGGAGGCCAAACGCAUCUGGGUGCCAAAGGAGAUAAUAUCAACCAUGAAAAGCACCAAGAAGGUUUGGAUCCCGAAAGGGAAGUGAGUGGACCAAAGGUCUGUGGGAAAUUUGGAGACUUGGCAAAAUUGGGAUGUAUAUCAUGGGAUACACCAUAUUGGAUCAAGUUUAUUGCCAAGUGGGUUAGUGAAAAUUUUGGACCCAAAUUUCCCACCCAUGACUAAGGUAACUAGUUUUAUUGUAUUUCUCGUUUUUAGAUAUGCGCAUCUAUUUAUCUUUUAUCUAGUUUACCUUUCUUGCCUAAUAUUACAUUUGUUAUGUACUUUUGUUUAAAAUCAUGCAUACUAGGUAAAUCAUAUGGUAGGAUUGCUUGUUUUUAAUUCAUAUACUUAAGCAAACCUACAUGGCUUAAAAUGGUUAGUUUAAGCACGGCACAUAGCUUUUAUAUCACUCCAUAGUAAAUGAUGCAUCAAUUGAAAAUUUUGAUUCCUACAAGUUGUAUCAUUUAACUUAUAUGUGCCAAAGUUAGGAUUAUAGAUAAUUUGCCCCUCUUGAUAUCAAAUCAAAGUGCAUGUCUCCUACAAGUAUUCAAAACUUGUAUGCACACCUUUAGGGGGAGGUUACUCUAUAAUCUAACACCUUGAGACUAACACCUUUUCAAGUCUAUUUCAUGUGAUAGUCUCAUUGUAAGGAAAAUAAAGUCCCCGGAGAAAGACAACAAUCUUCCACUGCAAAAUCUCCAAGAACUCUCAUGUCUCUCAAGCUCGCCAUUGAUCUUCAAUUGGUAUCUUUUGAGACUACAUUCAGUAUCAUUUACAUGUUUUCUCCAAUAUUUGAUUAGACUAUAUUUCAUAUCAUAUGCUUCCAUGUUGCAAAAAUGCAUAAGUAGUUAACUCAUAUUCUGUUACCUAUGCAUAAGGGAAGUUAGUCUUUUCAAAUCAUGUCUUGCACCUCUAAUUUUCACAUGCUUUUUCCUAAGUAGAGGAUCUCUGUCAGGGGAGUAUUUCCUCAUCUCUAAAAAGGGGGAGAAACUUCUUUCUAAGGAGAACACUCAUUUAGGGGGAGUAAUCCUUUCAACUGAUGUCAUUCAUAUUGUUUAAUUUAAUAUCCUUCUAGUGAUAUCAUUUGAUUCAAUUCUUGUUGAGGGCAAGCUGUUAUUUACUUCCUACAUGCUUUAAUGUCUUCCUUUUCGGUGGUUGAUGCCAAAGGGGGAGAAGUUUAGGGACCAAAGCAAUGAAAACUUUAUCAAACACCAAACACCACCAAUUUAAAAUUUUAUAUCUCCAAAUGAUUUUUCAAGUGGUUUUGGUUAUUUGGUCCAAAAAUAGGAAGUAAGUGAAUUAUGGAGUUAGGGGGAGGCUUAAGUCCAUAAUAUCACAUUAUGGGGACAAUCAUGCAUCUUAGCAAGUAAAUUGCAUAUUUUCAUUCAAAUACUUAUAUUAUUUGCUUGCUUUGGUUGUGUUGUCAUCAAUCACCAAAAAGGGGGAGAUUGUAAGGAAAAUGGACCCCGGGCCAUUUGGCUAAUUGAGUUUUGGUGUUUGAUGAACAACACAAUCCGUGAACUAAUAAGUUUUCUAGUGUUUGUGUUUGUUCACAGGAUGCAAAGAGAAUUGGACCAAGGCAAUGAGGAUGCAACACCUCAAAAGAAGACAUAAAAAAGAUACAUAGGAGUCCAAUACUCAAGAACAAAGAAGCCCGAAGAAAUCAGCGAAGAAUUCCAAGAUAAGGGCUGUCAGCCAGCGCCUGGUGGCGCACCGGACAUUGGUGUCCGGUGUGCACCGGACUGUCCGGUGAGGCACCGGACAGUCUGCGCAGAGAGGCCACAGACAGGCGCUCUCUGGCUGUAGCACCGGACCGUCCGGUGUGCACCGGACUGUCCGGUGUGCCAACGGGCAGACGACAACGGUCGGAUCCAACGGUCGACUGCUACAGGCGCCAACGGUCGGCUGACGUGGCGUGCACCGGACAUCUACUGUGCAGUGUCCGGUGCACCCGACGACAGAAAGCUGCUGCUUUCUGUCCAACGGCUAGUUGGGGGUGUGGAGGCUAUAAAUACCACCCCAACCGGCCAUUCUCUUGUGUGAGAGCCCAAGCAACACUUAGACAAAACCUAGUUUGCACAUUCUAGUUUGACUAUUUGCAUAGGUUUUGCUCUAGGGAUUUAAUUGUGGCCUAGUUUAGCGAAAGUUUUAGAAGUCCUAAUUCACCCCCCUCUUAGACGUCACCCGUUUCCUACAUCAACCGCCCGAUCUCAGCUUUAUUAUUUAAACCCAAAGUUUGGUACCUAGCAGAGGUACAUCUUUUCUGAUGUUGAACCCAUCAAGGCCUUGAUGGAUCCACCAUCACAAGUUUUUCUUUUUGAAAACAUUCCCACCCACUGAAGCAUUACUUUUUGUUCUAAACAAAACAUUUUUUGUUUGCUAAAGCAAGGCUAAGCAUCAUAAAAUUCUUUUCAAAAAGGGUAUCAAGGAAGGGUAAUCAAUUUUCAAGGAAGGAAAUGCAUCAACGGUUUAGCACACAACUCCUAUCACCUAAUGCAUCAUAUAAGGUGAUGAAGAUUUUAAAACAGCAAGGAGGUGACAAAUGCAUCGGGGCUUGCCUGGAUAACACUACGUUAGUGUUGUUAGGUGGCGACCACUUGGCGACCAUCUUUUGUUCUGAUACUUGUUUCGUCUGUCCAUCUUCAGUUCUGUUCAUCAGCACCAUCUUGUGGUCGACUCAGGUCUGGUUCUCCGCCUCACGUGGUUAAUUCACGUACCUGAAUGGAAUGCAUUAUGCAUUUAUGCACAUGAAUGCAUAUAGACAGGAAUAUCACAAACCUAAAUAGUGCUACGCGAUAGCGAAUUAAAUACCUAGCGUCGAGGCGUUGUACAAUUUUAUACGGAAACACUAGUUAUCGAUAUAUGACUACGCAAUGAUUACACUUCUCUAGAUUAACUGAAUCUAACGCAAGCAUCAUGAAACAACAAACUAUACACAUUUAAUACGAUUAGCCUAACAGAACUUAUCAGCUAAUUAAUUAAAUUCUAAACUUAUCCCUCGCUUUAUAAAUUAUAUUACAUUGCUCACAAAGAACUAUUUUAAUUUUAUUUCACACCUCACAUAUUUUACAUGUCAACAAUUAAUCAAACAUUUCAGGUUUGGCUACCAAAAUAUCCUACAAAAUCAACGACGACAGCCUUAUCGGAUAAUCGUUUGGAUUACUAAAUCAAUUCUUCACACUAUUAAUUCUCUUUACACCAUAAUCGUUUUAAACUUGAGUUUUGCGUGACACAACCACUUUAUACUUAUGUACACAAUAUAUUCAUCAAACCAAUAAUUAAGCUAACAAAAAUAUGAAUCGGCUUACCAUACUAACUCUGACGCGCUAUUCGUGAACACGGUAAGGAUUCUGGUUCAGCCUUUGUGUCGAGCACUUGGUAAACACCACGCUGCUAGCUUCGUCUUUGCCCGACUCUUGGGAUUUCUGGAUAACGACGACGAGAUCGAGUCUGGAGUGAGCUAGCGAGGUGUGGUUGAGCAGGUUAGCGUGAGCUCUGGCGAGGACACGAAUUCAGUGAGGACUGGGACGACAAUGAGGUCACGAGCUCUAGCGACACAGGGUUAAGCGGCGAACGCGUUCGGCGUGCAUACAUGAGCCGAACCGAAGGCGAGAAACCGAAGAAGCGAAGUUCGUCGACAGGCACUAUGGAGGAAUCAACAACGUUGCUGCACACACGACACGACGACAAACGACACAACGACGGGCAGGGAGAGAUCGCGGACUGGGGAAAGACCCGGCGAACAACGGCGCGAGGAGUAAAGCGAGGUCGCGGUCGAGCGAACUCUAUGGCGCGGACUGCCCCGUGGCCAGGACGGCUGCCGCAACGCACACGACGUCGCCACGCCACAACCUCACCACGGCCAUGAACAGAGGUGCGCACAGGGAGCUAGGAGAGAAUCGCGGAGCAAGUAGGGAACCGGCCACAACAUACAGAGGGACAUGGUUGUGCGCACAGGGAGCUCGGCAUGGGUAGCGGCCCGCGUCCAUAACGAGCAGGCAGGGGAGAGCGCGCGCAGCAGCGAGCGAAUACCAGGGCGCACUGGGGAAAAAGAUGGAGUAUAGGAUGCCGGCACAAGACAGAGCCGAGCUGGAGCCAAGAACGCGGUCCGAGCAGGGAGGCCGCGUGGGGCUGGGCGCCAGGGCACAGGAAGCAGGGACUCGGCAACCAGGCGCCAUGACCAACGCAGGGGCGAGCACCAGAGGAAAAACAGCGGCAGCUGAAAGUGGUGGACGCGGCCAUGGCGGAAGGCAGAGAUCCGAGCAGGGACAUGCGCCAUGAGCUAGCUAAGUGGAGGACGAGCCGAGAGGGAAAGAAAAACAGGGACACGGCGCGAGCAGGGAGCACCAGGGACGGCCAGUAGAGGAGGUUGCACGCGCGGGGAAAAGGAGCGGCGCGCGCAGUGGAGGAGCGAGCAGGAAGUGAAAAGCUCCACGCGCAGGGGAACUCGUCGGCUGGGCACGCGGCGAGGAGGCUCCAGGGAGCUUCACGGCGGCCGCCAUGGGAGAGCUGGAAGGAGCGCCGACCAUGGAGAUAAAGAGGAGGGAGCGGCUGGGAAGCAGAGAAGCUAGCAGGGAGAUGGGCGCACGUGGCCAUGGGAGAAAAGCAGAGCCGAGCGGCAAUGGAUGGCUGUGCCAGGAAGAAUGAAGCGCGGCCAGGAGGUCAGGCCGCAGCCAGCGCGCGUGGGACAGGAGAGAAGCGGCUGCCGAUUUUCCUAGUGCUGACUGCUGAGCGGUGGGUAGACGACGUCUUGAAAAAAUUUGAACAGGGAAGAUUUUUCUCCCCCCCGGCGGCUGAAGAUAGGAAGAGAAGAUCUUUUUUUUUCCAUUUUUUAUUUCUUCUCUUUUUUACAGGAAAAUCGUAGUUAUUUUAGAUUCCGAUUUGGAAUCGCAGAUAUUUCAAACGGUUGGAUUAUUAACGAUGCAUACUGGGUCGACACGCUACGCGAAUACACAUUUCAUUCUCUGAAGUUAGCGAGCCAACUUUUUUACCAAUUACUUAUAUCCAAAAAUUUGGAUCCGGGCGAGACACGACAUCCCGAAAAAGACUGAUUUUGUCUUCGAUAAUCUGCUCUGCGUGAUUCGACCGAAAUUAGCCGAAACCAUAUCUGCGAAUGUAUACGCGAUUUCAUCGAUGAAACAACGUGCUGAAGAAUAAAUUAGGUCAUUAUGGCCCUGGCUUAGCCCGACCACGACGACGGUGAAUAUCGGAUACAAAUCCAAGCGUUCCGGUUGAAUGAGUGUGGUCAAGCAUAAAGGGUUGAGCCGAUGAGUAUCACGAGUAUGCACGGGUGCUAAAACAUGAUCAAGGAGAGUAGGAGCAGACCUGGGAGCGACUGGCCAUGGAGCGCGGAGAAUUCUACUCGCCGACGUCUGAGAAGGGGGAAAUCGGUGCCACGACGGGCUUUGGUGGAAUUGGGAGGUGAGGUUGGGGCUAUACGGUCGCAAAGGGCUACUGAUUCAACGUGCACCACUAAUUUGGGGAGAGGUGGAGAGGAUUCCGUGAAUUUGUGCUUCAACCGCGCUCACUGGUGAAGUGGUGAGUACCUCACCGUGGGUGGUGGGGCUAUUUAUAGGCACGGCGGUCCGGCUAGCGAUCUGCGGCCACGAAUAGCAUUGUCAGUGCAUGGUUACCACGUAAGGAAGAGACACACUGAGGGAGGAGCAAGGCACAAGUGACACGGCAGCGGAAUGACCAAGCCACGGUGA
rnacentral:lncRNA from 1 species